GAUGAAGAACGCAGCGAAAUGCGAUACGUAAUGUGAAUUGCAGAAUUCAGUGAAUCAUCGAGUCUUUGAACGCACAUUGCGCCCCCUGGUAUUCCGGGGGGCAUGCCUGUCCGAGCGUCAUUGCUGCCCUCAAGCACGGCUUGUGUGUUGGGCCUCCGUCCUCCUCCCGGGGGACGGGCCCGAAAGGCAGCGGCGGCACCGCGUCCGGUCCCCGAGCGUAUGGGGCUUCGUCACCCGCUCUUGUAGGCCCGGCCGGCGCUUGCCGACACAUCAAUCUUUUUUCCAGGUUGACCUCGGAUCAGGUAGGGAUACCCGCUGAACUUAAGCAUAUCAAUAAGCGGAGGA
rnacentral:misc_RNA from 1 species